UACGGAAGGCAGCAGUGGGGAAUAUUGCACAAUGGGCGCAAGCCUGAUGCAGCCAUGCCGCGUGUAUGAAGAAGGCCUUCGGGUUGUAAAGUACUUUCAGCGGGGAGGAAGGCGAUGCGGUUAAUAACCGCGUCGAUUGACGUUACCCGCAGAAGAAGCACCGGCUAACUCCGUGCCAGCAGCCGCGGUAAUACGGAGGGUGCAAGCGUUAAUCGGAAUUACUGGGCGUAAAGCGCACGCAGGCGGUCUGUUAAGUCAGAUGUGAAAUCCCCGGGCUUAACCUGGGAACUGCAUUUUGAAACUGGCAGGCUUGAGUCUUGUAGAGGGGGUAGAAUUCCAGGUGUAGCGGUGAAAUGCGUAGAGAUCUGGAGGAAUACCGGUGGCGAAGGCGGCCCCUGGACAAAGACUGACGCUCAGGUGCGAAAGCGUGGGGAGCAAACAGGAUUAGGAUACC
rnacentral:rRNA from 1 species